rnacentral:rRNA from 1 species
AUUGAACGCUGGCGGCAUGCCUUACACAUGCAAGUCGAACGGCAGCACGGGUGCUUGCACCUGGUGGCGAGUGGCGAACGGGUGAGUAAUACAUCGGAACAUGUCCUGUAGUGGGGGAUAGCCCGGCGAAAGCCGGAUUAAUACCGCAUACGAUCUACGGAUGAAAGCGGGGGACCUUCGGGCCUCGCGCUAUAGGGUUGGCCGAUGGCUGAUUAGCUAGUUGGUGGGGUAAAGGCCUGCCAAGGCGACGAUCAGUAGCUGGUCUGAGAGGACGACCAGCCACACUGGGACUGAGACACGGCCCAGACUCCUACGGGAGGCAGCAGUGGGGAAUUUUGGACAAUGGGCGAAAGCCUGAUCCAGCGAUGCCGCGUGUGUGAAGAAGGCCUUCGGGUUGUAAAGCACUUUUGUCCGGAAAGAAAUCCUUGGCCCUAAUACGGUCGGGGGAUGACGGUACCGGAAGAAUAAGCACCGGCUAACUACGUG